GUGGGUAUAGCCCAGUGGUAGAGCACAUGCUUAACACGCAGGAAGUCCUGGGUUCAAUCGCCAGAACCUCCA
rnacentral:tRNA from 1 species